GGGAGUAUAGUGCAGUGGUAGAGCAUAUAUUUGGUGCACAUGAGGUCCUGGGUUCAAUCCCCAGUGCCUCUG
rnacentral:tRNA from 1 species